UCAGGUAUCUAUAGAGAGGGGGAUACACCCGUUCCCAUUCCGAACACGGAAGUUAAGCUCCUCUUCGCCGAUCGUACUGCCUUAUGUAAGGGUGGGAGAGUAGGGCGAUACCUGAA
rnacentral:rRNA from 2 species